CUUUUGCUGGCGACCGGCGCACGGGUGAGUAACACGUAUCCAACCUGCCCUUUACUCGGGGAUAGCCUUUCGAAAGAAAGAUUAAUACCCGAUAGCAUAAUGAUUCCGCAUGGUUUCAUUAUUAAAGGAUUCCGGUAAAGGAUGGGGAUGCGUUCCAUUAGGUUGUUGGUGAGGUAACGGCUCACCAAGCCUUCGAUGGAUAGGGGUCCUGAGAGGAAGGUCCCCCACAUUGGAACUGAGACACGGUCCAA
rnacentral:rRNA from 1 species